AUUGAACGCUGGCGGCAGGCCUAACACAUGCACGUCGAGAGGAGCGGCGGACGGGUGAGUAAUGCCUAGGCAUCUGCCUGGUAGUGGGGGCUAACGUCCGGACACGGGCGCUAAUACCGCAUCCUCUCAGAUGAGCCUAGGUCGGAUUAGCUAGUUGGUGGGGUAAAGGCCUCCCACGGCGACGAUCCGUAACUGGUCUGAGAGGAUGAUCAGUCACACUGUGAAGUAGACACGUUCCAGACUCCUACGGGAGUCAGCAGUGGGGAAUAUUGGACGAUGGGCGAAAGCCUGAUCCAGCCAUGCCGCGUGUGUGAAGAAGGUCUUCGGAUUGUAAAGCACUUUAAGUUGGGAGGCGUUACCAACAGAAUAAGCACCGGCUAACUUCGUGCCAGCAGCCGCGGUAAUUC
rnacentral:rRNA from 1 species